rnacentral:rRNA from 1 species
GACAGAAAGUGCAAACGUUGCUCGGAAUCACUGGGCGUAAAGCGCACGUAGGCGGCUUUCUAAGUCAGGGGUGAAAUCCUGGAGCUCAACUCCAGAACUGCCUUUGAUACUGGAGAGCUUGAGUCCGGGAGAGGUGAGUGGAACUCCGAGUGUAGAGGUGAAAUUCGUAGAUAUUCGGAAGAACACCAGUGGCGAAGGCGGCUCACUGGCCCGGUACUGACGCUGAUGUGCGAAAGCGUGGGGAGCAAACAGGG